AGAAACCAACAUUAAGAGCAAAUA
rnacentral:siRNA from 1 species